AGUGAACGCUGGCGGUAGGCCUAACACAUGCAAGUCGAACGGCAGCACAGGAGAGCUUGCUCUCUGGGUGGCGAGUGGCGGACGGGUGAGGAAUACAUCUGAAUCUACUCUGUCGUGGGGGAUAACGUAGGGAAACUUACGCUAAUACCGCAUACGACCUACGGGUGAAAGCAGGGGAUCUUCGGACCUUGCGCGAUUGAAUGAGCCGAUGUCGGAUUAGCUAGUUGGCGGGGUAAAGGCCCACCAAGGCGACGAUCCGUAGCUGGUCUGAGAGGAUGAUCAGCCACACUGGAACUGAGACACGGUCCGGACUCCUACGGGAGGCAGCAGUGGGGAAUAUUGGACAAUGGGCGCAAGCCUGAUCCAGCCAUACCGCGUGGGUGAAGAAGGCCUUCGGGUUGUAAGGCCCUUUUGUUGGGAAAGAAAUCCAGCUGGCUAAUACCCGGUUGGGAUGACGGUACCCAAAGAAUAAGCACCGGCUAACUUCGUGCCAGCCGCCGCAGUAA
rnacentral:rRNA from 1 species